GGACCUCCUCAGGCCUCACGGGGCGGGGUCUGGCUCCGCGACCCCGCUUUCGCGCACCGCGUUCAGUCCGUCAUUCCAGGUCCUUUUCCGAUGCGGGUCUGGACGAGCUGCACGGAAGCGGCGGUCCCACGUGCUCACCGGCCCGGUUCGGAGCCGAGGCCGCAGCCGCGGGGCUCCCGCGGGGCCGCAGUUACCACUGUGGCCAGGAUCGGUUCGAUGGGGCCUUUGUCCCCUCGGGGGGCGCCCGCGGGCCUUCGGGGGAGACUCGCUGUUCGAGAGAUGAAGAGAUUUGUUCUCCCUUUCGAUCUAAAUGAGUUCUUCGCUGUGAUCCCCUUCUUCCUUCUGGCAAACAAGAAAGCUUUUUCGUCAGCUUGUUCACACCAUUUCUCCUCUUCUUGGACCCACUGCCCAGCUCUUGGCAUUUAAAGCUCUGCUUUUUUGGAUUAAAAGACCUUUUGAACCCACAACUUCCUCAGCUGCUCAGCUCAUGCAGAAGUCCAAGAGACCUAAAGUGCACAGUUUAGUGAUGCUCUCCAUAUAGAUAACUGGUUUGGAGAAUCUGAAGGCUCAAUCCUGCACCCUGGCCAGAGAGGUCCAACAAAAGGCCUGGUACGUAUUGGCAAGAGGCUAUGAGAAGGUUUGAACUGUCAGUGCUCCUGGCUGGCCUGACAAACAGGGAGCGGUUUUUCCCUGAGUCACUGACAUGCAAAGAGAGGGGGAAGCAACCCCUUCUUCCUGUUAUUCCUCAGCUGCGCAUCAAACGAGUCUGUUAACGUGCUGCUCUUCUCUCCUGUGACAAGGCAGUGCACUGUCUCAUCAGGUACUGUUUGUAUAACUUUGUAAUGGAAAAGAAU